rnacentral:misc_RNA from 1 species
AAGUCGUAACAAGGUUUCCGUAGGUGAACCUGCGGAAGGAUCAUUAGUGAAUUUAGCGUGUCUUGCCCAUGAGCAGAGCGCGACCUCUCACUCUACACACUGUGCACAUAAUAAUCGUGGAUGGAACCGAAGCCGUAAGGCCGACGUGACAUCUUCGUCUCAUUUAUACACGAGUAAACGUAUGUCAUAACAUAAAAAUAUGAAAAACUUUCAACAACGGAUCUCUUGGCUCUC